AUCCCGAUCAGCAUGAGGAAGAC
rnacentral:piRNA from 1 species